rnacentral:rRNA from 1 species
GACGAACGCUGGCGGCGUGCUUAACACAUGCAAGUCGAACGGAAAGGCCCUGCUUUUGUGGGGUGCUCGAGUGGCGAACGGGUGAGUAACACGUGAGUAACCUGCCCUUGACUUUGGGAUAACUUCAGGAAACUGGGGCUAAUACCGGAUAGGAGCUCCUGCUGCAUGGUGGGGGUUGGAAAGUUUCGGCGGUUGGGGAUGGACUCGCGGCUUAUCAGCUUGUGGGUGGGGUAGUGGCUUACCAAGGCUUUGACGGGUAGCCGGCCUGAGAGGGUGACCGGCCACAUUGGGACUGAGGUACGGCCCAGACUCCUACGGGAGGCAGCAGUGGGGAAUAUUGCACAAUGGGCGGACGCCUGAUGCAGCAACGCCGCGUGCGGGAUGACGGCCUUCGGGUUGUAAACCGCUUUCGCCUGUGACGAAGCGUGAGUGACGGUAAUGGGUAAAGAAGCACCGGCUAACUACGUG